UACGUAGGGGGCGAGCGUUGUCCGGAAUCAUUGGGCGUAAAGCGCGUGUAGGCGGAUCGUUAAGUCCCUUGUGAAAUCCCACGGCUCAACCGUGGAACGGCUGGGUAUACUGGCGGUCUUGAGCCAGCUAGGGGCGACCGGAACAAAUGGUGGAGCGGUGAAAUGCGUAGAUAUCAUUUGGAACGCCAAUGGUGAAAACAGGUCGCUGGGGCUGUGCUGACGCUGAGACACGAAAGCCAGGGGAGCAAACGGG
rnacentral:rRNA from 1 species